GAAUUUAACCACUCAGUUUUCUGACCUGUCACUGGAUCCUACCCAGUAGUAUCAGAAGGAAGCUGAAAAUGGUGUUAGCUGCACUUAGGACAAACAAAAAUCAUUCCAGGUAAAAUAACCUUGUAAAGAAAAGUAAUAGUGUAUUAUAGAGGCCUUGGCUAGGUUCAUGAUGACAAAGGACCUUGUCUGAACAUAAUGAUUUCAAAACUUGAGCUUAAAUGACACUCUGAAAUCCAGUCAAUGUGCCUCAGUAGACUUUUCAGAGAACAUUAUUUUCAACAGAUAUUUUGACUUACUGUGGAAACUUGAAUACUUAGAAAUGGCAGGUGUAAAUUGGCAGUAUGCAUUGCCAAUUCUUCAGACAUCUUUUUUUAGGUUUUCAUAAGAUAUUCUGAGCUUAUUAUUUUUCCCUUCUUUUUAAACAUGUAUGCUGUUGAAAGCAAAAAAGGAAACUCAUCCUUAGAUCCCAGAAGGUGCACACACAUGCUGAGAUGGAAGCAAGGACAUGUAAAAGGGAGACAACCACUUCUUCGAUCAAACAUAGAAUGCCAAAAUUAGUGAUGUCCAGGAAAGAGGGGAACUAAUAUUUGUGGAACAUGUAUUAUAAAAUGCAGGGUGAGAGGAUCUCUACUGCUUAAUUGAGAUGAUGAAGGACCAAUAAGAGAGCAGUAUUUGAAAUCCAGUUCCAAGGAUAUAUUUGUUUUAGAUGUGAAUGUUGAUUAAUGACUUCAGGUAUUAAAUGCAGCAAGUCCAUCUAUGCCAAAAUGGCCAUUAUGAAUAGUUUGUGAGUGAUCAUGAAGAACGUGUGAUUUAGAGACUAGUACAGCAGAGUUUUACACACUGAAACAGUAUUGUGGGAUACACGAAAAGAAUAUGGGAGAAGAUGGGAUAUGAGAAGUACAUGAUGAAAAGAAGAGAUUUAUAGAUAACCUGAGGACAACUGACAUCAGGAAUAUACCUCAUGCUAUGGACUUCCUUAAUGUAAAAGUCUUAACUGGGAACAAUAGGAGGUGAUAGUUCCAUGAAAACACACUUCCGCCCUCCUGGUUUGUAAUUGCAAGAAUUGGUAUCAUCAGACCUCUCAUUGGCAGUAUUAUUCAUUCAAGGGUUCUUCACCUCUGAUCUCUGGUUCCAGGAAUACCCCUUGGAGAAAUUACUGUGUUGACUAAACAGAAAGACUGAUGCUCUUGCUUCUGCCACCAUCUUCAAAUCCAAAAGACAGUCUUCAUAAUGUAUGGAGACUUCUGUUUCAUGUUUUGGAGUGGAUACUCCUCGCAGAUCAGAAAAAAUGGACUGAGAAAACUCAAGUUUGAAAAUUACCUAGAGUGUCAUUGGAGGGAAUUGUAACCAGGCAUGUUGACUGUUUUCAUAAUUGACAUUGGACUAAAUCUCAGGAGCUUGAAUGGUGGAGAUGUUAUUACCCAGAGAGGUUCAGUAUGGUGUGAUUGAAAGGCAUCAUUUCAGUAUUCCCAUUAGAAUAAAGUACAUGUAUUUAUAAUUUUCACUUAUUACAGGGUAAAUUUAAAAUUGAUGGACAAAAAAUUACCCUUUUCCAGAUUUCAAAAGGCACAGAAAUUUAUCAAGGAUAAACUUUUUACUUCUUAAAUGCUUUUUUUCUCCUAAUUCUACUCUCCAAAAUUAUCUACAGUUAAUGGGAGUUUUGUGUUUAUACUCUUCGGGUAUAUUGAUGAACAAAAUUUAUGCUAGUUGUCUUUUGGGCCAAUAUAUUAGCUACAAAUUUUCUAGGCAGUUAAUAUGCUUUAUUUAGAAAUGAUUUUUAACUUCUCUGGCUAAUUUGUUGAAAAUAGUCGUAGUAUUUCCACCUUCUCAGAAUUAAGUAUACCCAAAAUUUACAUUCUGAGUCAAAAGUAAAAAUUUUCCUAAAAUGGUAUAGAUUGUCCUCAUCAGUUUUUCUCCCACUAUUUGUUUAUGAGAU